GGUUUAGCAAGCGGUGCCCGCUCUUGCGAAGGAAAUCAAUCUUUGGCAGACCAUCACAUUUUGACGGCGAAAUGGUUUACCCACCACUUUCACACGAAUCAACCGACUGCGACGCUACCACUGGCUUAUACGGCGUCGGAUGGGUUCCAUAAAUUCAACACCAGGGAAACAGCUCAAGGCCAAACCAUGCAAAAACAAAAGAGAAAAGAGAGCGGAAGUUUUCAAAAUAAAAUAAAAGAUGUUGACGACCCCGCCUUCCGCCCGAUUGUAGCUGAGAUAGGCGCCAGCGCCCCCCGCGACCCCGUAAGGGACAAGCGGUACAAAAUGGAUGGGAUGGAUGGAAGAUGUUGACGAAAUGCUAAAUGAUCGGCCUGCAGCUGUGCCACCCGCUGCCUGAUCAGCAUUGGCCUCAAACUCCUCGACUUCAAUCUUGAAACAGUAGAGUGUAUAUGUAACUUUUUGACAUAUACUGUACAUUGGAACUCGGCACUUGUCCAACAAAAUUCAAAACCCAAAACCAGUGAA